rnacentral:rRNA from 1 species
AGUUUGAUCCUGGCUCAGAUUGAACGCUGGCGGCAGGCCUAACACAUGCAAGUCGAGCGGAUGAGAGGAGCUUGCUCCUCAAUUCAGCGGCGGACGGGUGAGUAAUGCCUAGGAAUCUGCCUAGUAGUGGGGGACAACGUUUCGAAAGGAACGCUAAUACCGCAUACGUCCUACGGGAGAAAGUGGGGGAUCUUCGGACCUCACGCUAUUAGAUGAGCCUAGGUCGGAUUAGCUAGUUGGUAGGGUAAAGGCCUACCAAGGCGACGAUCCGUAACUGGUCUGAGAGGAUGAUCAGUCACACUGGAACUGAGACACGGUCCAGACUCCUACGGGAGGCAGCAGUGGGGAAUAUUGGACAAUGGGCGAAAGCCUGAUCCAGCCAUGCCGCGUGCAGGAAGACGGCCCUACGGGUUGUAAACUGCUUUUGUACCGGAAUAAACCUUGAUACGAGUAUCGAGCUGAAUGUACGGUAAGAAUAAGGAUCGGCUAACUCCGUGCCAGCAGCCGCGGUAA